AGCCUUCAUAAUCCGUGCUAAGGUUUCGUCAGACACCAACCCAUUAGGGCUGAUCAGACUUUCAAGAUAAUUAAAGUU
rnacentral:pre_miRNA from 1 species